rnacentral:piRNA from 1 species
UAUCUGAAUGGAGAAGGUCAAGGGCAUG